CGGUCGUUUCUUUUCCGCGACGGAGAGGAGAGAGCGUGAGAGUGACGGAUGCGCGAGCUCCACGUGUUUGCCUUGAUCAAUUGCCGAACGUCGCGAAUACAGCAAAAUCCCGAAAGCUUUGCAAUUUUAUUUCAACGAAUUGAAAUUAGGCUCGUAUAUGUCGCAUCGCGGUUCGUCGAUCCUUGUGAUUUGGAAACGAAAAAACGGCAAAACUGAUGAGGAAGAUUGAAAUCACGAGGACCAGUCAUUUGCAAUCUCGUAUUUCCUCUUCUACUGUAAAACCGACUCCUUAUCGAUUGCCGUUAGUGGUUUGUUUUUUUCUUUCUUUUUUUAUAUCGUGGUUUUUUUUUUUACCUAUCCCGUAUUCAAUCCUAUCGUCCUUGCUGCCUUGUUUGAAACUGAGUUUCAAGUUUAGGCUGGUGACAGUAUAACGCUGGCGGUUGUGCGAUGGUGAUCGAAACUGUGUCGCUGGUGAAAUUAACCUGACAUUACACUUUCUGAACACGUCGUUGCAAUUAAACAUUGUGAAUAUCGAACAAGCUGCUUCGUUUCUUUUAAACCUUGUUGAACUUUUCUACUCCCUACAAUUUCAAGUGACGUGUAUAUGUAAAUACAUACAUACAUGUAUAUACAUUUAUUAUAUAUAUGCAUGUAUACAUAUCUGUACUCAUCGCGUUAAAAUAUCGACUAAACCGCGGCGAGAAUUCCUUCGGAUAAAAGGGUGUAUAAUAUAAUAUCAUUACCUCUUGUCUCAAAGUGGUGCGCGAAAUUUUCUUUAGAUAUAAUUACCGUGGAAAGUGACUUGAAUUGAAAAUGUCGCCGAGCUUUCAACGCUGCAGACUAUAAAACGCCUCUGGGGAGCUGUGGACAGCACUCAUAAAAAUUGUGCAAUGAAACGUGGAACGGCGAGACGGACGAACUUUGACUUUUACUGAAAACAAGAUCAAGUAAGUUCGAAACACCGUACUGGCGAUAACUUGGAAUUUGGAUGAGUGUGUGAUUACCUUUCACAAAACUCGGCGGUGAACGAAACGGCGGUGCUGCUGUUUAUUGGAGCUCGGACUCACCUCGUUCGAACUCAUUAUCGUCAGGUAUAACGACUCGUGGUAAUCGAACGCUUGGAAGACUGCAGACCGCACUCCUGUUUUCAUAAGCCGCCCCAGACGAAGGACGAAAGAAUUCUCGGCUACCGGCCUCGGAAGCUGAAUCGCUGCCGCUGAAGCAGAGGACGAGAUAUCCGCCGACUACGCCCCGCUAAGCUGACCCCAGAAAAGUCCCUGUGGCGGUCACUCCCCGAUCCCACGGCGAAGGUCGCUUACGGACACACUCGCUCCAGACUUCGGAUCUCAUCGUACCUCGCGGUCCAACCGAGCCCGGGAUGCGGGAGAACGAGACGAGAGAACCCGGGAUCCCUCAACCGGAGACUGGGAAUGCGUGUCGCGCCGCUACCCCUCGGCUGGGCCAGACGAUCGUCUGACCUGCGCUGCAGGCCUCUCUUCAAAGGAAGUCUGGGCAUGGGGACCUUUCCCCGUCAGCUACCUGCUGUACGUCCUUUCUACGUUUUUCGUUCCUAGACCGUUCCUAGAACUAUUCUUCGGUCCUGCAUUUUACCGAGAAGGCGCGGUAUUGUUGGUGACUCCGUUUUCGAAGCAGGUCAAGAAAAUGUGAUGUUUCAUUUUCUGUAAGGUUUCUAGCAGCCCUUAGAAUUGAAUUCUGUAACAGGUAAAUGGUAAUGAGAUGUUUGAAUAACACACAGAAAAGGACGGGGGGGGGGGUGAAAAAUAUACUAAUUCGCUGAAAAAUUAUUAUACAUAAGUAACAUUGAAGAGAUGUCGCUAUUACUGUUAAAUAAUCUCCACGAUAAUCAGUCGUUUCAGUUAAAGAUUGAAUUAGGUUUUUACAGGUUGUCGAUAUGGCCUCAGUUUUUUUUAUUAUUUUUCUUUUCACGGUACACGUAUACGUUGUUUAUUGUUUCAUUUUUAAUAUAUUUCAAACAUGAAUUUUCCCUCCUCUGAAUUUUCAUCAAAUAACGGUCUACCUUACACAC